GACGAACGCUGGCGGCGUGCUUAACACAUGCAAGUCGAGCGGGGAUAGAUGCUGGAAGGUUUCGGCCGGAAGGUAUUUAUUCUAGCGGCGGACGGGUGAGUAACGCGUGAGCAAUCUGUCCCAGACAGGGGGAUAACACUUGGAAACAGGUGCUAAUACCGCAUAAGACCACGGUAUCGCAUGGUACUGAGGUAAAAGGAGCAAUCCGGUCUGGGGUGAGCUCGCGUCCGAUAGCUAGUUGGUGAGGUAACGGCCCACCAAGGCGACGAUCGGUAGCCGACCUGAGAGGGUGAUCGGCCACAUUGGAACUGAGACACGGUCCAAACUCCUACGGGAGGCAGCAGUGGGGAAUAUUGGGCAAUGGGCGCAAGCCUGACCCAGCAACGCCGCGUGAGUGAAGAAGGUUUUCGGAUUGUAAAGCUCUGUCCUUGGUGACGAAGAAAGUGACGGUAGCCAAGGAGGAAGCCCCGGCUAACUACGUGCCAGCCGCCGCCGUAAGAC
rnacentral:rRNA from 1 species